rnacentral:lncRNA from 1 species
GCUGAUAACUUCUCAAAUAUUUCAGCAUAGGCUGCUGUGCAUGUAGAUAGAUAUAGUGAAAUAAUGACAUAAGAUGGAAAAAUCUCUUCCGUUUGUCUUGGUGUUUGGUAGUGUGCCAGUAUUUGAAAAAUCCCAAUGUAUCUGAUUCACUGCUGCUGCAGAAUAUUUUCCAAGCUCUGAAUGUAUAUUACAAUUAUUCGGGCCAGGUGAAAUGCCUGAAUAUUUCAGAGACAGCAACUAGCAGUCUGGGAACACUGGGUUGGAGCUAUCAGGCCUGCACAGAAGUAGUCAUGCCCUUUUGUACUAAUGGUGUCGAUGACAUGUUUGAACCUCACUCAUGGAACUUAAAGGAACUUUCUGAUGACUGUUUUCAACAGUGGGGUGUGAGACCAAGGCCCUCCUGGAUCACUACUAUGUAUGGAGGCAAAAACAUUAGUUCACACACAAACAUUGUUUUCAG